GACGAACGCUGGCGGCGUGCUUAACACAUGCAAGUCGAACGGAAAGGCCCUGCUUUUGUGGGGUGCUCGAGUGGCGAACGGGUGAGUAACACGUGAGUAACCUGCCCUUGACUUUGGGAUAACUUCAGGAAACUGGGGCUAAUACCGGAUAGGAGCUCCUGCUGCAUGGUGGGGGUUGGAAAGUUUCGGCGGUUGGGGAUGGACUCGCGGCUUAUCAGCUUGUUGGUGGGGUAGUGGCUUACCAAGGCUUUGACGGGUAGCCGGCCUGGGGGUGACCGGCCACAUUGGGACUGAGAUACGGCCCAGACUCCUACGGGAGGCAGCAGUGGGGAAUAUUGCACAAUGGGCGGAAGCCUGAUGCAGCAACGCCGCGUGCGGGAUGACGGCCUUCGGGUUGUAAACCGCUUUCGCCUGUGACGAAGCGUGAGUGACGGUAAUGGGUAAAGAAGCACCGGCUAACUACGUG
rnacentral:rRNA from 1 species